AAUUUUGGACAAUGGGGGCAACCCUGAUCCAGCCAUCCCGCGUGUGCGAUGAAGGCCUUCGGGUUGUAAAGCACUUUUGGCAGGGAAGAAGGUCUUCGGACUUGACGGUACCUAAGGAGGAAGCCCCGGCUAACUACGUGCCAUCAGCCGCGGUAAUACGCAGGGGGCAAGCGUUGGCCGGAAUUAUUGGGCGUAAAGGGUGCGUAGGCGGCCUUUUAAGUCAGAUGUGAAAGCCCACGGCUUAACCGUGGGACUGCAUUUGAAACUGGAGGGCUUGAGUAUCGGAGAGGGUAGUGGAAUUCCCAGUGUAGCGGUGGAAUGCGUAGAUAUUGGGAGGAACACCAGUGGCGAAGGCGACUACCUGGACGAAAACUGACGCUGAGGCACGAAAGCUAGGGGAGCAAAC
rnacentral:rRNA from 1 species